AUGCCCGUUAGAUUAGGAGAGGAAAAGAGGUGUACUAGAUUUUUAAUUGUCAGUCUUAUAUAUCAGAUAUACACAGCAGAACAACUGCCCAAAAAGUGCCAAACACUAAAGAAUUCCUUAUUUUCAAGAGGGCAAAAGAGGUGUACACCUAUUCUGAAUAAAAAACACAAAACUACAACACACAAUCAAGAGAACAACUAUCCCGAAACAAAGAUACAAUAUAGGCUGAAUGGAAGAUUAAUGUAG